GUGACCUCAAAUCAGGUAGGACUACCCGCUGAACUUAAGCAUAUCAAUAAGCGGAGGAAAAGAAACUAACAAGGAUUCCCCUAGUAACUGCGAGUGAAGCGGGAAAAGCUCAAAUUUAAAAUCUGGCGGCCUUUUUGCUGUCCGAGUUGUAAUCUAGAGAAGUGUUAUCCGCGCUGGACCGUGUACAAGUCUCCUGGAAUGGAGCAUCAUAGAGGGUGAGAAUCCCGUCUUUGACAUGGACUACCAGGGCUUUGUGAUGCGCUCUCAAAGAGUCGAGUUGUUUGGGAAUGCAGCUCAAAAUGGGUGGUAAAUUCCAUCUAAAGCUAAAUAUUGGCGAGAGACCGAUAGCGGACAAGUACCGUGAGGGAAAGAUGAAAAGAACU
rnacentral:rRNA from 1 species